rnacentral:piRNA from 1 species
UGUUUCUCUGCUUAGCACUUCUUGA